UACGAAGGGGGCUAGCGUUGCUCGGAAUCACUGGGCGUAAAGGGUGCGUAGGCGGGUCUUUAAGUCAGGGGUGAAAUCCUGGAGCUCAACUCCAGAACUGCCUUUGAUACUGAAGAUCUUGAGUUCGGGAGAGGUGAGUGGAACUGCGAGUGUAGAGGUGAAAUUCGUAGAUAUUCGCAAGAACACCAGUGGCGAAGGCGGCAUCCUGGCCCUGACCUGACGCUGAGGCGCGAGAGCGUGGGGAGCAAACGGG
rnacentral:rRNA from 1 species